UCUGAUCGGUAGGAUGAACCUCAGCUGGGACGUCUGGAAUGUUCUGAUCGGUCUGGUCCAUAGACUGGGGCACAUCAAGGAGCUUGGGCAAUCCGUGUGGGCUUGUUUGUACUUGUCCAGGAGCGGAUUGGCAAGCCCAGGGCGUCUGGAAACUGCCUGAGGCGAAUGGGUAUGAUCUGGACCAUUGAUUAAAUCAAUUGCCAGAAAUGAUACCGAAAGGGUUCAACU
rnacentral:lncRNA from 1 species